GGGAGCCCCUGGGGGAGAACAGAGAUCGGUUAGCGGGGGUGUCUCCCGCCGGGCGCCCACCCGACCCCUGGCUGCAGGGUGAAAACAGAUGUGUGAGAGAUGCCUCGCUGCCGGAGAAAUGCUGGGAAGAGGCAGCUGGAGGAAGGAGUGGAGACUUCCCUGUUGCUGCGUCAUAGAGAGGAGAACUAUGCUUCUAGGCUUAUUUCAGAAGUCUUAAUGAAGAAGAAUGCUGGUGGUGAAACCCAUCUAGAGAUGCUAAGGGCUCUGCAUUUGCUGUGGAUGGAA